AUGAGAAGUGAGUACCUAGAUAAUAAAAAAUGGAUGGAUGAAACAACAUGUGUGAACAUGCUUAGGCUUGGAAGAGGACCUUUCUUUCGAUUUUGUAAACUUUUCCGGGACCGUAAGUUGCUUGAAGAUACGAUUCAUUUGUCCAUUGAACAACAAGUUGCUAUGUUUUGCCACACCGUUGGACACAAUGUUAGGAAUAGGAUAAUAGGUGGCAACUUUGGUAGAUCUGGUGAAGUUGUAAGUCGUUAUUUCAAGGAAGUCCUUCAUGCUGUUGGAGAGCUACGUGGUGACCUUAUUAGGAAGCCAUCGUUGGAGACCCAAUCCAAAAUAGAAGGGAACUACCGGUGGGAUCCAUACUUUAAGGAUUGUAUCGGAGCUAUUGAUGGUACACAUGUAUGA
rnacentral:rRNA from 1 species